rnacentral:tRNA from 1 species
GGGAAUGUGGCUUAGCGGUAGAGCGCUUGCCUAACAUGCAUGAGGUCUAAAGUUCAAUUCCUCAGUACCA